UACGUAGGGUGCGAGCGUUGUCCGGAAUUAUUGGGCGUAAAGAGCUCGUAGGCGGUGUGUCACGUCGGCCGUGAAAACCUGCAGCUUAACUGUGGGCGUGCGGUCGAUACGGGCAUCACUGGAGUUCGGCAGGGGAGACUGGAAUUCCUGGUGUAGCGGUGAAAUGCGCAGAUAUCAGAGGAACACCGGUGGCGAAGGCGGGUCUCUGGGCCGAAACUGACGCUGAGGAGCGAAAGCGUGGGGAGCAAACAGG
rnacentral:rRNA from 1 species